UGAAGAAUUAGGGUUUUAUAUUUUGUUGAUUUUGUUGUGAUAUAUUUCAGGUUGAUUUUGUUGAUUUUGAAAGUGUAGACUCAGAAUGGAUAGUUGAUUUUGUUGUGCUAUAUUUCAGGUUGAUUUUGUUGAUUUUAGGUUGAUUUUGUUGUGCUAUAUUUCAGGUUGAUUUUGUUGAUUUCAGGUUGAUUUUGUUGUGCUAUAUUUCAGGUUCAUUUUAUUGAUUUUGUUGAUUUUGAAAGUGUAGACUCAGAAGGGGUUUACUCAAGCAUCGUUCGUUUAGUUUUGAUUGAAAGGCAGAAAUUAGAGUAUCUGCCUAGAAACUGGACAGUUCUUGAAGAGAGAGAACCUAAGGACUGAUGUUCACUUAUGGUGAAUUGUAAAAUCUCAAGAAUUCAAGUUCCUUAGCUCAAUUUCUCGUGGUGUAAUUUGCAGUGAUGUCUUCUCACGAUUCAGUAAGCACGGUGUUCAAAUGUAUGCAAAACGGAGCCGUUGAUUUUCUCAUUAAACCUGUUCGCAGGAAUGAGCUAAGGAACUUGUGGCAGCAUGUGUGGAGAAGACAUACUAUUAGCAAGCCUCCUCAAAAUAUAACAUUGGCACAUGAUAAACUUGAUGUUGCUGAAGAAAACAAUACUGCAAGUAAUAAUUCUAGUGGUUCUGUAGCUUCCACGCAGAAAAUCGAGUGCAGUGGAAAAAAUAGUGAGACUCCAGCUCAAG